GCCGAGCUAAGUAACUAGAGCUUGUAACCCAAGUAAGGGCAUAAAGGUGAUGGGACAGUUCUUUGACUCCCUGGUUGGAGUAGUGGCUGCUGUAAGGUUGCUUGCCCAUUCCAAGUUGAGAGUUGAGUGUUGGAGGGACUUUUUGCGAAGGCAUAGGUGUCAUCACUUAAAGACAAUGGGGCACUGCGUGAGGCUGGUUUCACAGAGCAACGAUUACCACUACCUCCCAACAGCGGAGGGAUAACAAGCUGCUGCAACCACACUCUACGAUGACCUGGUCAGCCUCAGUUGCUUGGACCUUCACCUUU
rnacentral:SRP_RNA from 1 species